UUUCUGGUUUUCAGAUGUACAAACUAACGCUACCAUUCACAUAACCAAAAAAGUUUCAUCAGUUCAUAGAGCGGGUAAGGAUUCCUGCCGCCAUGAAAAUUCAGAAAAAUCCGACGGCUCCGGGUAAUCAAACAACCCGCCGACUGUUAAAAAGUCGCCGUUGCUAUUACCUCCGUCAUUAUCUCCUUCCCUGAGGUCAUGCUCCAUGCCAAAAUCGAACGUGUCGUAAUUAGGCAUAUCGUCCUCAAAUCUCGCCAUGUUAACGAAUUCAGCUGCCUCAGGCAUGACGUCAGAUUCGGCAUUAACGUUGUGAUCGUUUACCGGAGAUAUUGUCGGAGGUAGACCGAGCUCAUCGUCGGAAGCUUCGAGAAGGUAACCGAGGUCCGUUUGAGAUUCGCCGGAUUCCGAUGGAUUCAGAUCGAGAACGGUCUGAGAAUCGUCGUGAAGAGGUGAGUGAUGAAGGAUUUCUUCCUCAAAACUCUUCAUGACGGAAUCCAGAUCCUGAAUCUCCGGCGGACAUUCGUUCAGAGCAUCAGGCUCAUCUAAGAUAUCCAAUAUAUCUUCUCUUAUCUGCUUAGCCUCCGGCGAAUCCAGGUACACAUCUUUUCGCACGUCAUCGGAAUCCGAUGAGUUGACUCGGUUCAACUCAGACGAGUCGGGAGCGGUCUUCUCUAGCUCUGAUGAGUUAACUCGCUUGGGCUCAGGCGAGUCAUCAAAUGCGUCCAAUCCUGACUCAACUCGGGUCCGCUUAUUACUGUUAUUAUUAUUCUCAGUUUUCAACUCUUUUUUCAUGUUGAGACAAAAGCCUUAACAACUGAUGUGAAGAGAUUUCUCAAAAUUAUAAAAUCCAAGAAUAGGACAAUAGGUGGGGGCUAGUGGGGUAACUACUCUAGGCACAAAGUCUAGAAAGAUAAAAUGAGCUUUGGAAAAAAAAAGAGGGAAGGGCAAAAGAGAGAUAUUAGCUUUUGGUAGUUGUAAGUCCUUGUUUGGUUAUAGGAAAGAAGAAAGAGAGAGAAGAGGGAAAAAUAUUUUGAAGCAAUGAAGGAGAUAAGGAAGGGGAAGAUAGUUUAUAUAGUGGGAGAGAAAAGGAGGGGGACCAAAGGGUGAGAGGGAUAAGAUUUGGUUGUGUGUGUGAGAGAAGGAAGAGAGAGAAGGGGAGAAACGAGACAAAAGAUGCUGUUUUCAGGUUGAGAUGCAAAGGUGGAGAGAAGUGGAGCUGGCAAUUAUAGUAGUCCCAUCUUAAGUAUUCGUUUGGCCAUAAAACAAAUGUUUAUUUUCUAGGGAUUAUUUUUCUUUUUUAAAUUAAAAAAUUAGUGUUUGGCUUUUAUUUAAGUACACAUAUGUCCAUAUUGAUAGGGUUUACAACACACAGUAUUUUACCAAAGAGCAACAUAUUCAAUAUAUUUAUUUUCAUAAUAAAACCAAAUAUGAAGGAUAAAGUGCAUAAAAUUUAUAUUUCUACGUUAACAGAUACAUAGAGUAGAGAGAUUGUUUUCAAUAAAUUUUUGGCUAAAACUAAAGUAAUUGGUUAGAAAAAAAUUAAUAUAAAAAUAAGAGAUAAUAAAAAAUAACACAAUAAAUACUGACAGAAAAAAGAUUACCACAAAGUAGUGUUAUAAUUAAUUUAUCUGAAACAACAACAUUAUCAAAACUUCAAAACUAAAGACACUACGGAAUCAUUUGAUGGAUAUACAGAAUAAAUAAUUUCAAAAUAAAAUGAAAAAUUAUUUUAUUUCAUAUUUGAUGUGAGGUAUUAAUUAGUAUCGAAAUUCCAUAAAAGUCAUCCUCAUCUUUUCCUAAUAACUUCAUUAAUUUACCUCUUUUAUCCCUAUCAGCACAUUCAUCGUCGCCGUUUUCAAUUUUACUACUUUUGUCCUCUGGGAUACAAGGAACUUUAUAGCACCGCGCUGCAUUUUAUACUGUACGGCUACUCUAUUACAUCAUCAUUAAUUUUUUAUUACUUUCUCCGUUUCAUUUGGUGUGAUCAUUUUUUUUAAUUCAUUUUAAAAAACAUAUCAUACUUUUUUAUUUAAUAAAUAUUUAAAAACAUAAUUACAUCUUUAUCUUUAUUAAACCCACUUAAUUAAAAAUAAAUAGCGACACAUUUUUAAUAAAAGACAACCUGAUAAAUAUUUUUUAUUUUUUUAAUUUUGUGCCCGAUCAAAUAACACAUAAAAUGAGAGGGAGAGGGAGUACUAAAUACUACCCUUCUCUACUAGUAUAUGACUUGUGAAUCACAUAAAUUAUGUAUAUUUCUUUUGUAAAAUAGAAAAAUAUCACACAAACGUAAGAGCAACGAAUCAAUAGGAGUACAAAGGAGAAAAUCGUCUUUCUUUGUUUUCCUCGCAUUAAAAACAGAAUUUAUACUGAUAAUAUAUUCAAUACUGUAUAAUAGCGCAUGGCAGAAAACAGAAAUACAAUUUGUUUGUUCUAGCAACUUUCUUUGCUUCAAUAAUUAAAUGGGCUAAAAUUAAGCUAAUUGUGUGUGAGUAAUUCUACUGUAUUUUUGGCACUUGGCUGGGUAGACAGUUCAAAUGAGCAAAUUAUAUAAGGAUGAUGUAAAAUUUCCAAAUUCUACCAUCUGAAAACACUUGAUUCUAAAGUAUUGAAUUUCAAAUUUAGCUUUCCUAUUUUUAUGCUGUGCUGCUUUCUGGUUUUCAGAUGUACAAACUAACGCUACCAUUCACAUAACCAAAAAAGUUUCAUCAGUUCAUAGAGCGGGUAAGGAUUCCUGCCGCCAUGAAAAUUCAGAAAAAUCCGACGGCUCCGGGUAAUCAAACAACCCGCCGACUGUUAAAAAGUCGCCGUUGCUAUUACCUCCGUCAUUAUCUCCUUCCCUGAGGUCAUGCUCCAUGCCAAAAUCGAACGUGUCGUAAUUAGGCAUAUCGUCCUCAAAUCUCGCCAUGUUAACGAAUUCAGCUGCCUCAGGCAUGACGUCAGAUUCGGCAUUAACGUUGUGAUCGUUUACCGGAGAUAUUGUCGGAGGUAGACCGAGCUCAUCGUCGGAAGCUUCGAGAAGGUAACCGAGGUCCGUUUGAGAUUCGCCGGAUUCCGAUGGAUUCAGAUCGAGAACGGUCUGAGAAUCGUCGUGAAGAGGUGAGUGAUGAAGGAUUUCUUCCUCAAAACUCUUCAUGACGGAAUCCAGAUCCUGAAUCUCCGGCGGACAUUCGUUCAGAGCAUCAGGCUCAUCUAAGAUAUCCAAUAUAUCUUCUCUUAUCUGCUUAGCCUCCGGCGAAUCCAGGUACACAUCUUUUCGCACGUCAUCGGAAUCCGAUGAGUUGACUCGGUUCAACUCAGACGAGUCGGGAGCGGUCUUCUCUAGCUCUGAUGAGUUAACUCGCUUGGGCUCAGGCGAGUCAUCAAAUGCGUCCAAUCCUGACUCAAUUCGGGUCCGCUUAUUACUGUUAUUAUUUUUCUCAGUUUUCAACUCUUUUUUCAUGUUGAGACAAAAGCCUUAACAACUGAUGUGAAGAGAUUUCUCAAAAUUAUAAAAUCCAAGAAUAGGACAAUAGGUGGGGGCUAGUGGGGUAACUACUCUAGGCACAAAGUCUAGAAAGAUAAAAUGAGCUUUGGAAAAAAAAAGAGGGAAGGGCAAAAGAGAGAUAUUUGCUUUUGGUAGUUGUAAGUCCUUGUUUGGUUAUAGGAAAGAAGAAAGAGAGCGAAGAGGGAAAAAUAUUUUGAAGCAAUGAAGGAGAUAAGGAAGGGGAAGAUAGUUUAUAUAGUGGGAGAGAAAAGGAGGGGGACCAAAGGGUGAGAGGGAUAAGAUUUGGUUGUGUGUGUGAGAGAAGGAAGAGAGAGAAGGGGAGAAACGAGACAAAAGAUGCUGUUUUCAGGUUGAGAUGCAAAGGUGGAGAGAA
rnacentral:lncRNA from 1 species